rnacentral:rRNA from 1 species
AUUGAACGCUGGCGGCAGGCCUAACACAUGCAAGUCGAGCGGGGUUUUCGGACCUAGCGGCGGACGGGUGAGUAAUGCGUAGGAAGCUACCCGAUAGAGGGGGAUACCAGUUGGAAACGACUGUUAAUACCGCAUAAUGUCUACGGACCAAAGUGUGGGACCUUCGGGCCACAUGCUAUCGGAUGCGCCUACGUGGGAUUAGCUAGUUGGUGGGGUAAUGGCUCACCAAGGCGACGAUCCCUAGCUGGUUUGAGAGGAUGAUCAGCCACACUGGAACUGAGACACGGUCCAGACUCCUACGGGAGGCAGCAGUGGGGAAUAUUGGACAAUGGGCGCAAGCCUGAUCCAGCCAUGCCGCGUGUGUGAAGAAGGCCUUCGGGUUGUAAAGCACUUUCAGUAGGGAGGAAGAGUUGAGUGUUAAUAGUACUCAGCUUUGACGUUACCUACAGAAGAAGCACCGGCUAACUCUGUGCCAGCCGCCGCAGUAAGAC